CCCCUCCCAGGGUCGUACCUGGAGAGUUUCCAGUCCUCUACCAGUCUUGGCUACAGGAGGCAGAGUGAAGGAGAAGCCUACCCUUUCCAUUCCUAGCUUGGGCAGUGGCUAGUGAGUGGAAGGCCAUCUGCUACAACU